UAGGACAAUGGAAGGGAACGCAAACGCAA
rnacentral:piRNA from 1 species